rnacentral:tRNA from 1 species
GGCCACUUGGUGAAAUUGGCAGACACGCAGGAUUUAGGUUCCUGUGCCGCAAGGCGUCGGGGUUCAAGUCCCCGAGUGGCCA